rnacentral:rRNA from 1 species
UAGAGUUUGAUCAUGGCUCAGAGCGAACGCUGGCGGCAGGCUUAACACAUGCAAGUCGAGCGCCGUAGCAAUACGGAGCGGCAGACGGGUGAGUAACGCGUGGGAACGUACCUUUUGGUUCGGAACAACCCAGGGAAACUUGUGCUAAUACCGAAUAAGCCCUUACGGGGAAAGAUUCAUCCAAAACCGGCCCG